CAAGGCUCAAGGCAAUAGCUGUAAUAGAAAAGCCACAAACGGUAACAUGAAAAGACAGGACAGCAAAAGAAACAGGGAAACAACUGUCAAAGCAAGUAAUAAAUGAACUCCUAGAAACUACCAAUCUAAAAGAAAAGCAGAAAGAAAAGAAACGUCUUGAGCCAAACCUAUCCAAAUUCAAAAUAUCAGCCAAACCUCUUUCCAAAAUUAGAAGAAAAGAAAUCGGACCCAAGGAAAGGAGAAGGAAAAAGCUUUGAACACGAACAAUGGAGACUCAUCGAACCUUCUCCAAUUUCAAAGCAAACAAGAGGAACCUUAGAGGUACUGGAUGCAAGCCAAGAGGUAUUCCAUUGCUAUCUUCUUCACUGAAUCAGGCACGCCAUUAACCCAACCACCGCAAAUCUGCCUUCUCCAGCCUUCCAACGCAAGAGUAUGAACUGCUGCUCUGUUAACCAUUCUGGGUACAAAAAGACAAGGAGUCACCUUCCACAACCAGGCACUGAAAGCCCAUCUCAGUCGCAAAGAUUAGUGGUCUUUCACAAGCCCGUGCUUCUACUGCAAAGGCGUCAGCAACUUCUUCGAUGAGAUAAGUUUCUGCUCCUACGAUUUCUCCUAUAGGAUCUCUGGCUAAAACUGCUGUUGUAGCGAUUUUGUCUUCUUUUUGAAAAGCCGCAUCAAAGUUUAUCUUGAUAACUCCAUCAUCUGGGGGUCUCCACGAUCCUUCACCAUAACUUUAAGAGAAGGACAGAGAUUUUCUUGAUUAAGACUGAGCUCUUGUUCAUAACCUCGAAUAAACCCUAUAAACUUUUGUAAAGAAAAUUUGACCCCUUCAUGUAUUAGUUUGUUUCUGCGAUACCAUAACCCCCAAAUGGAAAUAGAAAUGAUACGUUUUUGUUGCUCAUUUGCUGUAGAAAACGUUCUAGCAAAUCGACUCUUACAACACAACAAAGUUUCCAAUGUGGAAUCUUUACUGAGGGCAAGCGACUUCCACAUUCAACGUUCGGUGCGCCAGACUACCAAAGCAGCCAAGGGUCAUUCCAAUUAUUGAUGUGAGCACCACUGCCAACCCUCCACACAAUCCCUUCCGCAAUCAACUCUCAAGCGCUGCAAAUACUUCUCUAGGUAAAAGAAGGAUCUGGAUAGACCAAAUUCAGAGUUAGAUCGAGGAAAAGAAAAAAUAUCAAAUUAGUAGAUUUUACGUACACGAACACUUGUCGAGUAAUUCGGAGGCUCGAAUUGGUUGGAAGCUAGUCGAAGCAUCAUCACACUAUCCUUCGACUCAUUUCAGUAUAAAUAUUAAAUUACUUUUGGUUAUAAUGGCAUGUAUAGGCUAAAUUUUGCCAAUGAUGGCAUGUAUAUAUGUAUGUGUUUGGUUAAAAACUAGCCAUUGGUAUGGCUUGUAAAUGGUAUGUUUUGAUAUGUAAAAAUGGUCUUAAUAUGUUUGAUGUGUAUUUGAAAUGGAUGAAUGUAGAAAAUCA